rnacentral:rRNA from 1 species
AUUGAACGCUGGCGGCAUGCCUUACACAUGCAAGUCGAACGGCAGCACGGGUGCUUGCCCCUGGUGGCGAGUGGCGAACGGGUGAGUAAUACAUCGGAACAUGUCAUGUAGUGGGGGAUAGCCCGGCGAAAGCCGGAUUAAUACCGCAUACGAUCUACGGAUGAAAGCGGGGGCCCUUCGGGCCUCGCGCUAUAGGGUUGGCCGAUGGCGGAUUAGCUAGUUGGUGGGGUAAAGGCCUACCAAGGCGACGAUCAGUAGCUGGUCUGAGAGGACGACCAGCCACACUGGGACUGAGACACGGCCCAGACUCCUACGGGAGGCAGCAGUGGGGAAUUUUGGACAAUGGGCGAAAGCCUGAUCCAGCAAUGCCGCGUGUGUGAAGAAGGCCUUCGGGUUGUAAAGCACUUUUGUCCGGAAAGAAAUCCUUGGCCCUAAUACGGUCGGGGGAUGACGGUACCGGAAGAAUAAGCACCGGCUAACUACGUG